GACGAACGCUGGCGGCGUGCUUAACACAUGCAAGUCGAACGGAAAGGCCCUGCUUUUGUGGGGUGCUCGAGUGGCGAACGGGUGAGUAACACGUGAGUAACCUGCCCUUGACUUUGGGAUAACUUCAGGAAACUGGGGCUAAUACCGGAUAGGAGCUCCUGCUGCAUGGUGGGGGUUGGAAAGUUUCGGCGGUUGGGGAUGGACUCGCGGCUUAUCAGCUUGUUGGUGGGGUAGUGGCUUACCAAGGCUUUGACGGGUAGCCGGCCUGAGAGGGUGGCCGGGCACAUUGGGACUGAGAUACGGACCAGACUCCUACGGGAGGCAGCAGUGGGGAAUAUUGCACAAUGGGCGGAAGCCUGAUGCAGCAACGCCGCGUGCGGGAUGACGGCCUUCGGGUUGUAAACCGCUUUCGCCUGUGACGAAGCGUGAGUGACGGUAAUGGGUAAAGAAGCACCGGCUAACUACGUG
rnacentral:rRNA from 1 species